CCUACGGGUGGCAGCAGUCGAGAAUCAUUCACAAUGGGGGAAACCCUGAUGGUGCGACGCCGCGUGGGGGAAUGAAGGUCUUCGGAUUGUAAACCCCUGUCAUGUGGGAGCAAAUUAAAAAGAUAGUACCACAAGAGGAAGAGACGGCAAACUCUGUGUCAGCAGCCGCGGUAAUACAGAGGUCUAAAGCGUUGUUCGGAAUAACUGGGCGUAAAGUGUGCGUAGGCUGUUUCGUAAGUGUGGUGUGAAAGGCGCGGGCUCAACCCGCGGACGGCACAUGAUACUGCGAGGCUAGAGUAAUGGAGGGGGAACCGGAAUUCUCGGUGUAGCAGUGAAAUGCGUAGAUAUCGAGAGGAACACUCGUGGCGAAGGCGGGUUCCUGGACAUUAACUGACGCUGAGGCACGAAGGCCAGGGGAGCGAAAGGGAUUAGAUACCCCAGUAGUC
rnacentral:rRNA from 1 species